rnacentral:lncRNA from 1 species
AUAGUCACAUGGUUCGCACAUAUUUAAGAUGAACAAAAAAACAAAGGAUUUUUUUUCACCUUUCAAAUUUUUAUUUAAAUUCUAGUCAGUUAACAUAUAGUAUAAUAUUGGUUUCAGGAGUAGAAUUUAGUGAUUCAUCAUUUACACAUAAUACCUAGUGCUCUUCAAAACAAGUGUCCUCCUUUAUACCCAUCACCCAUUUAGCCCAUCCCCAACCCACCUCCUUCCAUCAACCCUCAGUUUUUCCUCUAUCACGAAGAGAUUCUUAUAGUUUGUUUCCCUCUCUCUUUUUGCCCCCCUUCUCAUAUGUCCAUCUGUUUUGUUUCUUAAAUUCCACAUGAGUGAAAUAAUGUAUACGGUAUUUGCCUUUCUCUGACUUAUUUCACUUAGCAUAAUAUACUCUAGCUCCAUCCACAUUGUUGCAGAUGGCAAUUUCAUUCUUUUUUAUGGCUGAGUAAUAUUCUAUUCUAAAUAUAUACAUUAUAUUUGUCCAUUCAUCAGCCAGUGGACAUUUGGGCUCAUUCCAUGGUUUGGCUAUUGUUGGUAAUGAUGCUACAAACAUUGGGGUGCAGGUACCCCUCCAAAUCUAUAGUUUUGUACCCUUUGGGUAAAUGCCAGUAGUGCAAUUGCUGGGUCCAGAGAUAGUUCUAUUUUUAACUUUUUGAGGGAACUCCAUACCAGAAAACAAAGGAAAUCAGCAUCAUUAUUUCACCACCCAAAUAAUUAUUAAGUCAACAUCCUUAAAAGAUUUCUAUGAAUGCAUAUAAGAACAAGUUAAUAAGUUAAUAGAUGAAAAUAAUUUCAUAAAAUGGUUCUAUAGUAAAUUGCUAGAUUUAAAACUAUCACGGUUUACUUGAAUGUAAUAAAGCAAAUUAUAUGAAACUAUUGAUCUUGCUUAAGCUUAAAUAAUCCGUAUAAGAUCAAAAAACAAGGGUAUGAUGCAUAUUAAGAUAUUAGCAUCAAUUAGCUGCCUGCUUCAAAAUGAGCAAAGAAGCAUUCUUUCAUAUCCUCCCUCCUCUCCUCACUUUUAUGCUCUAUGGUAUAUCUAGUAUCUUAUCAGUGUUUAUAGUAUUUACAAUAUAUUUUAAAAGGAUAAUCCCCAUAAUUUAGACUUAUAUUUUAAGAGACAGUGCAUAACAGCCAAACUGUUUAUGCAAAUUAUCAAGUACGUCAUUUAUUUAUUUAUGUGUGGUAAGCAUAAUUGGUUUUUAAAUCUAUCUGAGACUUCUGAUAGCUAAAGUUUGUGGGUCUAUUUCUGCUGUAUUAUUGCUGAUUCUUCUCAUGUAUGUUAUUUUUGCUUCUUUGUGUGACUCAUAUGGUUGAUUGCCCUUGAAAAUUUAUUUGUAGGAUGUCCUCAAAGCCUAGGUUGCAUGUUUCAUCCUUCAUAAUGUAUUUUCAUUGGUUUCAGCUAGGAUCCUUGAAUCACUAUCAGUAGGGAAUCACUGCAAACUAAGUUUAUGGCUUGAUGUUUCUCACAACUCAACAUGCAUAUUGAAAAUAUAAACACACAUGAGGACCAAUCUGUAGCUACAGUUACCCAGACAUCUUUUAUUUUUCUUCUGCUCUACUUAACAUGGGGGGGGGCUUCUGUAUAAUUCCCUGGAGAUGAGGAGAGGGAGCAUCUUUAGAUUUGUUAAUACCUAUACUAUGUAAACAUAUAUAUGUAUGUGUGUACGUGUGUGUGUAUAUAUAUAUAUAUAUAUAUGUUGUGUGUGUAUCUAUAUAUACACACCCUAUGUAUGUGUGUGUGUGUGUGUGUGUGUGUGUGUGUAGGGUGUAGCCCUAUGGGGUCCCUUAAAAUGGGGAGGAUCUUUGUAUAAUAUGUUGCAAAUUUGCUUGGCCCUGAGUCUUGAUUGAUAUUUAUUUACUCUCAUGAACAGCACCAAAUCAAGGCCCACAAGCAAAUAUUUUUAAAUGCUUUAAUAAGUUUCAUUGUUCUGAUACAUUGUUUACCCCUCCGUUAUAGGCUUCCAUCAAAAAUUGGUUUUUCUUUUCACUAUGUUUUCUACUGUUUUUACCUCUUUGAUUUUUUUUAGGUAGUUUUUAAAAAAUAUAUUUAAUUUAUUUAUUCAUGAGAGACACAGAGAGGGAGAGAGGCAGAGACACAACACAGGCAGAAGGAGAAGCAGGCUCCAUGCAGGGAGCCCAAUGCAGGACUCGAUCCCUGGACUAGAUCCCCGGACUAGAUCCCCGGACUCGAUCCCCGGACUCAAUCUCCAGACUCCAGAAUCAUGCCCUGGGCCGAAGGGAGGCGCUAAACUGCUGAGCCACCCAGGGAUCCCCUUAAGCAGUUUUUAAAAAAAGAGUCUUGGCCGUUAUUCUUUAUUAUUUUCCAGGUGAGGGUCAUCUGCAUUAUCUAUACCAUCAAUUUCAGAAGUGAGAAGCUCUGCCUAAUGUCUUUUCAAUUUGAAGAUUCAAUUUUGCCAUCAUUCCAAUGAUAUAUGAGGCUAUUUUUCUUUGAAGCCACUGUUCCAUUCAUUGGGUACUCUGUCCAGACAAAUGAUCUCCUUUGCCCACUAAACUUUAUUAUUUUUAUUUUUUCUUUAUUUUUUGUAUAUUUCUUAUUGGAGUUAAAUUUGCCAACUUCUAGCAUAACACCCAGUGCCAUCCCAUCAAGUGCCCUCCUCAGUGCCCAUUACCCACCCACUAAACUUUAAUCCCUCCAUAGAGAGGGCUCUUUUUCUAUUAUGCUUAGGAAAAUACUUGUUGAAGUAAAUAUAGAUGAAUGAGAGUUGAAUAAAUUAAUGAAUUUCAGUUUGUUAUUUUAUCAUCUGGCUAUAUAAACUUAAAAACUACAACAAAAUAUUUUAUUUUUAUAAAAUGCUCAUGUACUGUUUACACUAUUUGAUAUUUGCUUCAUCAUUUAGGAUAACAAUUUAUAAUUUAGGAUUUGUAAGCCAUCAUCUUUUAAAAUGUAUGAUGUGAUGUUGAGCACUUUCCUUAUUUAUUCACAAACAAUGAAAUUUUAAAAAUUUUAUAUUAAAGGGAGAGGGAGGAGAGGCAGAGGAAGAAGGAGAAAGAGAGAGAGAGUCCCAAGAAGACUCCUUGCCAGAAGGCAAAGCCCUACUUGGGGCUUGAUCCCAUGACCCUAAGAUCAUGAUCUGAGCCAAAAUCAAGAGUCAGAGGUUAAACCAACUGAGGCACCGAGGGGCUCCAAACAAUGAAAUUUUUUAAACUUAUUUUAUUUUUUGUGUUACAUAUAAAGGGAUAAAGAAAGUAUCUAUGAUUUGGUUUCAGACCAUGGUCUGUUUUUAAAUACAUAUAUUUAUAUUUAUAAUGUGUAUAUAUAUUAAAUUUAUUAAAUAUUUUCAUCCUUGGUUUUUCAGGAAUGUACCUGUAAUUUAUUCUUCUCUAUUCUUAAGCCAACUAAUAUGUGUUAGCUUAAGGAAAUAGCGCUUUAACUACUUGAUGAUUUUAUACUUUACUUCCUUUCCUUUACAAACUCUAAUUGAGAAGCUCCUAUUCCUUAUAAUUUGAGUGAAGGUGUACAAUUUUGAAUUUAGGUGAAUUAUUAAGAAUUGAAGACAAUAAAAAACAGAAGCCACUCAAUGUAUAUCUAACCAGAAAAGAUAUUUGCUAGAAGGAAUUACAAAAUCAUAAGAACUGGACAAGCAAAAGCGAGAGAGCCAGCACUGAACUGGUUUUGAAGGCAUUCUGCUAUUGUUGCAGUACAGAAAUCAAGAAGCUGCUAUUACUACCAAAACUGUUGCUUCCACAAUGUCUUCUUCCACCAUCACCUCCCAAACUGGUGACAAUGCACUGGAACCUAGAGUCUUGGUGCCACAGUGGCCUCCAAUUCCUUCUGAAACUCAUGGCUAGACCCAGAAAUGCUGGCUUGGUUGCAAGCACUCACAUCUCUCUGACCUUGCUGGUCAACAGGAAUGACAGUGGGUAGAUGACCUUUGCCUAUCUUCUCAGGAUCAUCCAAAGGCAUUUCACUGGUAAAGCCAAAUUUACAUCCAGAAAAUAAUUCAAAAGAAUCCUUAAAAUGGAGAUUUAAGACUUCUAGAUCCAGAAUUCUUAAAAAGUCAUAAGAAGAAGUAGGAAUGGAUGACAGUUGCCAAUAGCACCCUGAGGAAGCAUCAUUAGUUCAAAGAGAAUCUUGUCCCAGCAACUGAAUUCAUUUAUUGCUUUGGGGCUAAGUUUUCAGUGGAACAAGAAUUCUUUUAUUCAAAUCACAACACCGAUAUGUAGAAAUGCAACCAUGUGCUCUUCUAAUAAGCAAUGCGAACAGGCAGUUUAGUUGACCCUAUCUGCUCCUAGUGAGCAGUGGGAACUAUAGGUGUGGUCUGAGUGGGUAUGACAUAGACUACUCAUUUCACCCAAAUGUAUGUUCUACCCUUAUUUUCACUAAUAGAGCUCUCAUUUUUAGUUGCCCAUGUGGAUAUAUGGGCUAUAGAUUGUAUUUUCCAACUUUUGUUGUGAUUGAGAGUGGUCUUGUGACUAAGUUAUAGCCAUUGAGAUAUGAGUCCCAUGGAAUAUUCCAUGGAAGUAGUCUUUAAAAAAGAAGACAAAGAAAAAAAAAAAAAGAAGACAAAGCCUUUCCUUUCUCCUUUUUUUUGGUCUAAGAGGAGAUAUAAUGGAUGGAUACUAUGCAGCUAUCUUGUAUUAUAAAGUAAAGGCCAUGAUUUGAAGAUGAUAAAACAAAAAGAUGGAAAGUGAUGAUCCCAGAUAACACUGAAUGCAUUUCAAGCUACUAAACUUUUAUGAGAGAAAAUAAAAUUUUAUUUUGUGUUAGCCAUUGUUGCUAUGGGUUCUUUUACAGUAUCAGGUUGAAAUUAUAGAGAACAUAUUUAUAUAUAGAAAUUACAUAGAACAUAAUUCUGGCUGAUAUAGUAUGCUUCUUUAACAAAGUGAUAUUUAAGAUAAGAACCAAAGAAUGAUUAGAGAAAAUUGUGAGGCUUACAUGCAUGUCUUAGAAAUCAAGAUUU